CGGGGAUCAGGAACGAUGUUCAUCGGACAGCGUAGGGGAGUAACUGCAGGAGAUCUAACAGGAUCGGUAGUGGGACUUUAGCCCAGAGAUACUGGAGUCGCUCGAUCCAGUCGAUGAAAAACGGCAACAGGAACAGUUCACCGCCCAGACCUGGCUGAUCGGCUGGAUGAUAUCGAUCAUUAAUGGCGUUAUUAAUGUCUCAGGUCUCUUUGCUAGGCCACUGGAGGUCAUGUUUGGUUCCCGCACUGUAGUGACGGUCGCUGGUUUCUUGGUUGGGGUAUCCAUGAUCAUCGCUUCUUUUUCCACCAGUGUUGAAAUGCUGACACUGACGCUGGCACUGU